AACUCUUUGGUGGAUACAUUGGAUCAGAAAUUAUCUCAGAAAGUUCUGAUUGAACGGAUGGAUGGGUUGGAUUGAUGAAUGGAAUUGAUACUUAAAUGCCUUUGUAAUGUUACUCAUAAUUUUUUUUCUUUUUUUCUGGGAAGCUGCAUGAAUGUCAAUUUGAGGUAGUCCUAUAAAGUGAACUGUCAUAUCAAGUUUCCUUAUAUGCUUAUCAUCAAGAAUGAGUGGAUUAGUGGUGGGAAAAGGUUAUCCAUCAGAAUCAUCAAAAGAUAAUAUAGGAAACAAAACAGCCUGGAAUGUGGAAUAGUCCAUCAGGGUUACUUCCAUAUGCUUGAAAUGAAGGAAUUUUCCUAGAAAGUCUGCUUGAGAGUAAUGGUCUUUCUUUCCUCACAUGGCUGCAGUUAAUAUCUUCUCAAUGCAUCACAAAAGGAGGUAGAACUAAAGGCCUUUGGCAUGGUUUUUAAUGCGUUUUUUGACCUAACCUUAUACAUAUGAUGCACCACUGGUCCUAACAGUUCUUUUUGGGCUAUUAUUUUGUCUGUUUUAUUUACUGAAAAAAGAAGUUGGGUUAGGUUUAAUAUGUAAUAUAGAAGUGUACCUUAGUCAUGGAAAUGUAUAUCAUACUAUGGAUUCGUGCAACACAGGCUCCAUCAUGACAUCUGGAUUGAACCUUACACAAAGAAAAAUGAAAUUAUAAAUUGAACCCGAACCAGGAUUCCUGAGAAUUUAUUCUCCUGCCAAACUGCACUCAAGACGAGAGGAAAGCCACAAAAUUAUGAAGUGAAGUCAAUCCUCCAAUAGGCUAUAUUUUGUCCCUUGAAUGAAAAGCUUUAUGUGUUGCCAUUA